rnacentral:rRNA from 1 species
ACGAACGCUGGCGGCGUGCUUAACACAUGCAAGUCGAACGGAAAGGCCCUGCUUUUGUGGGGUGCUCGAGUGGCGAACGGGUGAGUAACACGUGAGUAACCUGCCCUUGACUUUGGGAUAACUUCAGGAAACUUGGGCUAAUACCGGAUAGGAGCUCCUGCUGCAUGGUGGGGGUUGGAAAGUUUCGGCGGUUGGGGAUGGACUCGCGGCUUAUCAGCUUGUUGGUGGGGUAGUGGCUUACCAAGGCUUUGACGGGUAGCCGGACUGAGAGGGUGACCGGCGACAUUGGGACUGAGAAACGGCCCAGACUCCUACGGGAGGCAGCAGUGGGGAAUAUUGCACAAUGGGCGGAAGCCUGAUGCAGAAACGCCGCGUGCGGGAUGACGGCCUUCGGGUUGUAAACCGCUUUCGCCUGUGACGAAGCGUGAGUGACGGUAAUGGGUAAAGAAGCACCGGCUAACUACGUG